CUGCCACUUAAUACUUACUUGACAAUGUAAAACAUGAUCAAAAUGAUUCAAGCAGUUUCCCUGCAACAGUCUGUCAUUGUGAUUGCACGAGACUAGAUUUAAAGUUACGCAUUGACGCGAGCAGCGAUUUCCUCCCAUGCCCUCUCCCUCUCCUUUGCAGCUGCUGCUGUAUUGCACUUUCUUUUAAAAACGUGCUGUAAUUCGCUGUUGGCUUGCUGCUGCCCCCUCCUUCUCCCUGUUUCCAUUGGUUGAUCAUUGAAUCUGGGCUCCACAGAUGCUGGCUGUUUAUGUCUGGCGUGCACGUGCUUAACUCCAGGUCAAACUACUCGGAGUUGUUAAAUCCGUCUCAAAUCAGGUGUUGUGAAACCGGAAACUCCGAGUUUCCUAACUCAGAGUAGAUCAACUCAGAGUUAAGGGGCUCUAUUUUGGUGCUUCGCCGGAGAUCUGCCGCAAGCGCAGCGUCAAUCAGAUCCGCCGCGCUGACAAGGCGUUCCCAAGCACAUUUUGGUAUUUUGGUGAGCCGCGCAGCCCGGCGUAAGUAUCCCCCCUCCCUAACUCAGCUCCUCCCAGCACCAUAAGUCGGAGAAAGGGCGUGUAGUGAUUUUAACAAAGCCGAGACCUGUUUUCUCCAAUCACAUAAGCUCCUCUCCUUGCCUUUAAAUCCGCCACCGGCGAGGCGUAUUACUAUUUUCAUGAAGUAGUCAAAGAGAUCAAGAGAUGUCUUAAGACAGUAAUGCCACAAGAUGGCGACAGAGGGCAGCUCCUCAACAAGUGUCCUCCACACUCUCUCAUAUGAGCACAGAUGGAUUUAGUGUGCGUAAUGUUGGUCCCACUGGUAAGACAAACACCCUUUUCCACAAAUAAAGACACUCACAUAAAGUUGCUCAUAUUCAAACCUCACGUGACAAAGGUGGGUUUAGCGCACAGAUCACAACAUAAACUCCAAAAAUGGCAUUAAAAUUGGAACCAUCUGUGCGUAAAUGACGCAUCGCGCUCCGUGGCCUGGCUCUUUCUUUCAUAGAUGUUGGCAUAUAAAAUAAAUUUGGCUCACAAAACUGAAUAUUAUAAUAUCCGUAUGUCGGCUUAAAGUAGAUCACGCAUCUGAGCACUGAAACAAAUCAUCUGUUCAGUCGCAGCAGCAGCAAGACGGACAGAGGACACGGAGACGUGUCCAGGUCGAGCUGCGCGAGAAAUAAGAGGAAGAGGAAGAAAGAAAAUGAGGGAGACGAAUUACAUAUCUUGUUAACUUCAUCAUGUGUGUUUAUUUACUAGAUAUUUAAUUUAAUUUGAUGCGGUUUCAGCUGUGUUGAUUCGGUCCGGUUGUGUGUCCAAACGCGUGCCAAACGCGCUCAUCAGAUCAGAUAUAGAUCAGAAUAUAUCUAUAUAGAUCUAAAUAUAUGUGCUGACUCAGAUUAAUAGUUGAUGAUGAUUACUUAUUGCACUGAAAUGUGCCUGACACUGUGGAAACCUGCCGGUGAGGCAUCAGUGACGUAUGUCGAUACGCCGCCGGUCUACCAAAAUACUACUAGACCAGCUGCGUUCCGCCUUGCGCUGAAAGCUGACCAGGUUUGAAUCGGUGAACUUUCAGCGCACUUUACACGCCGUUGGCGAGCACGAAAAUGUCACUGCGCCAGCUGAUUCUGUCAACACCUCCCCCUGCCACACCACCACGCCCAGCUUGGCGGAUCUCGGCUCGCCUCCGUGCGGCUCAUGCCACGAAAAUACCAAAUUGGCCUUACGCUGGGCUCCGCCAGACCAAAAUACAACUGCGCGGGGCUCGCCACCCUCCGCCGCCUCACCGGCGCGAACGAAAAUAGAGCCCAAGGAUUUAACUCAGAGUUUGUUGAACCACCUACGUGAAACGGACCCCAGGACCGCAGAGACUGUUGAUGUUUUUAAAAGGAGGCUCAAGACCCACCUUUUUAGUUUGGCUUUUAGCUGAUUUAACUGUUUUAGUUUAUUUUAUCCUUUACUUUUAUCACAUUUUUAUGUCACUUAGAUAUUCUAACAUUAUUCUAAUUUGGUUUUAGUUUAUUUUAUCCUUUACUUUUAUCACAUUUUUACGUCAUUUAGAUAUUUUAAUAUUAUUUUAAUUCCUUCUAUGCCCUAGUCUUUUUAGCUCCAGAGUUUCCUCGUGGGGGCCCUCCACACUGGGAGGUAUGUCUGGUCCGCCCCCGGGGGGCGCGGUCCUUGGGAUCGUCCAGGCCCAGACGGUUAGGGGGCUCUGCACUGUGUGCAGGGUGCACCCGGGCUGUCUGGGUCGGGGGGUCUCGGGGGCGGUGCUCCCUGUGGGGGUGGGCUGUGGCUCCUCUCGGUGUGGACGGCUCCCAUAGGUGGUCUUUCCUUACCAGAAUCAUCAGUGCCUUGCCAUGUUUUUACUGACAGUUACUGUGUGGGUGUGUGGAUACGUGUGUGCGUGUAUGUGUGUGUGGGGUGGGCUGCUGUGCAUGCCUGUAUAUGCUGCUGUGGGUGGGAAGGGACGGGUUUUAUGCCUAUUUAAGUGCCCUAUAUUUACUGUUGUUUGUUUUGUUUUUUCUUUUUUUAACGUUGUUUGUUUUUACCUCUUUGUAAAGCACUUUGUGUUGCAGCUUAAAAGCAUGAAAGGUGCUAUAUAAAUAAAGUUUGAUUGAUUGAUUGAUACUGUGAUUGUUACUCGGUACUCUCACCCACAGAUCUUUAACCCAUUCACUGUCAUAGGUUUUUGUGUGUGUGUGUGUGUGUGUGUGUGUGUUUCUGAUUAUGACCAGUGAUACUUUUCUCACCCGGUGCUCAAACAGUUACUGCAUUAAAAUUCACAGCUUAAUCAGAGUAAGCUCAUAAUUCGUUUUUUUUUUUUUUUCUCGCCGAAUCGGACUUCUCUCCUUGUCCUCGUAUACAUGCAGCUAAGAAACUUGAAUUAUUGACGAGACUAUGUCCUCCUCCCCAAAACUAGGGGGCGGUAUGGGUCUUUUCACCGGCGCUGUGUCCGGUUGACCCAACAACAACAGCAGGUCCAUGCCAGACGUCAGAAGUGGCUACAACUGCUGCUGGGCAUUUUCGAGCAAGAAGAUGGAGCAUCAUACAGCGUUGUUUAUGUCGUACAUGAUGUACGUGCUACUUUUUCUGCAGAUGAGGUGCACGCUACUUCUCUUCUCUGGUGUUUUUGUUCCGCACAUGUAUUGUCCGAUCUUACUCCGACUACGCUGGUUACAUGGUAGAGAAAAUCGAAUUAUUUGGGUGUCUUAACCAGAGUUCUCCGACUCCAAUCGCAGUUCUCAAACUCUGAUUAUAGUCAGACAAAGGUGUUUACAUGCACUUCAGUUGUCCAGUCUUAUUUGGAAUAAUUCGGUUUUCUCAAGUGUCAUGUAAACGUACUGGGUGACUUCCUAAAUUUUUGCAGGUGUGCUGCACAUCCUUCUGUGUCCACACAGCACUGAGAGAAAAGCCAUAGUCCAGCUCUCUGCUGAUCCAACAGACAUCAUGUGAUUGACAUGAAAUGUUCACGGAUUGAUUAGAAUGGAGUGUCACAGUGGUGAUUGAGGGUCAGGGGCGAGAACAUUGAUAAGAGCCCCUCAUGUAUAUCAUGGAGCACAGGACAGUUAUGAUUAAUGAAGAUCUGUCUCUGUAGCGUUUUCAGACCAGAUUCCAUUUUGGUGACCCUGGACAGCAGAAGCAUGGAGGUAACAGCAUUUUUAAGCCCCCGGUACCCACAGUGUAGGGUUCAUUUAAGCAUAUGAAGGCACAGUCAAUAAGAGGGUCCGAGGGUCCUCGCUCUGGAAAUUUACAGCAUUCAAGUGCAUACUUGUUUCACAUUAGGCUGUGUCUUAUUUUCUAAGAGAGCAUCCAGGUGGCACUGUGUUGUGUUUCUAUAUCUUCAAAUAGAGUAGAAUACUCUGAGAGGACUCUACAGUAUUUUAUUUUCUAAAGGGACAUCCUAGAAGAUACGUUUUCAGACAUGGGGGCACCAAGAGGGGCAACCACACCCCUGUACCGCCCGCUAAGUAUACCUCUGUGAUGUCCUGAUGUCCACCCAUAAGGUCUGUCCUAAAAUCUCAUGCUGUUAGGGUUAACAUCAGCUUUGGGAACUUCCCAGAGAGCAUGUGAGACUAAAACUUGGGAGAUGGAGCUGAUGCUGUGAAAGGUUUCUUUACUCUCAAACUUUCCAAACUAAAGACCAAGGUGUGCUCAGAGUUACUUUCCCUUUUGAUCAAAGCCUUUCUUGCAGAAAUGGUUCUGACGUGACCAUGGUCUGGUUCGAGGCUCAGGUGAGUUUGAUUUCCUGAAUGCGGAACUUUCACACCUGAGCUGUCAAGGAGGUGAGAGAAGACAAGUGGGAGCGAGUGUCGGCCUCCCCGUGUCGUCAGCUGUGGAAGUCUGAACUCUGAGAAAUCCCAGGGUCCCUCUCUGUGGACUGUCGAUGCCACCUUUGGCGUGCUGUUUAUUUUCUGGUUUCACAGAAGAAUUUUAAUUCAACUUAUCGUUCUGCGACCAUGCUGAGCGCUGAUUCAGGAUACUGCAGUUCUCUGGGUGAUUACUGUGUCAGGAAGAGUGAGCUUAAACAUCUGCAGCCACCAAGGGAGAUGGAGCAGCUUCUGAAAGGCCGUCCAUCUGAGCCUGAGCCAAGGACUUGAUCAGCAGACCAGUAGGGUCCAACUUAAUGGACUGACAUGAUUAAACCUGCUAAAACCCAUGGAGGAAAGGAAGAAAGUUGCUGCACAUGUAAAUAAAUUAAAACCUCUCUCCUCUUAGUGAUGCAGCUCAACUUUGGUCUGCAGGUCUUCUAAGAGUCUGUUUUUCUGUCUGAACCACCUCCUGAGAGACCCUCUGGAUUAGCAUUCUUAGCUGAGAAAGUCCUCCUAUUACCCUCCAUGCUGUGACAGUUUCUGGAGCGCUGCUCUCCAAGUCUUUCUUUGUUUAAGCCUCUCCUAUAAGAGCGAGCCGGCUCUGCACAUAUGGCUAGUGUCAGCUGUAAUUAGCUCUGACAGGGGCAUUUAGUGGUUGUAAUUCAAAUCUAAUUCAGAACAUCUUAACCCUGAAGUCUGUCAAGAUGCUUGAAAUGCACAUGAACACUCAUGGUCCCAAUCAGCGCUGCGUUUGUGCGGCAGCAUGCUGAUGUGUCAACAAGGCCGCUUAGAAAAACAGGCUCAGAAAACAGGAUGGUUCAGUCCCAUCAGAGCUGCAGCAGGGGCAUAGAGGGCUGGAUAAAUGAGCUGCAGACUCCGUGGUCAGCCCUGAUGCUGCAGACUCCAUGGUCAGCUCUGAUGCUGCAGACUCCAUGAUCAGCUCUAAUCCUGCAGACUCAGCGAUCAGCUUAGUUCCUGAAGCCUCCUUGUUCAGCUCCGGUCCCUCAGACUCUGGCAGCUGCUUCACCUUUUGCACUCAUCCACACACAACUAAACAUCAUCUUUUGUAAGAAAACACACAGUCCUGCAUCAACAGAGGGGACUAAUGGGAACAUAGCCGACCUUGAGCUGAGGAGACUCUCAGACCUUUAGCGGCAGUUUUUAAUCCGACUGAUCUGCACACAACACUUACCCCCCUGCUGUAGAGUCAAGGUCUGAGUUAACUGAGAGAUUCUGCUUCAGUUUCAGACCAACACAAAGUUUUCAAACAUGCACACAAACAGACCAAAGAGUGUUUUUAUUCUCAGAGGUACUCUGAGCUGCUGCAGAGGGUCAGACUGAGGGCACAGUCAUUAUUCACAGUUAUAAAUUUAUCCCUGACUGACUACAGAAGAUUCCUCAAAUCACUGAAUAACUUUAGUGAGGAAGCUGGAAAAACCAGGAUCAGUUACUGCACAAACUUUACUAACUCUAUUCAUUCAUUUUUAAUGACACUCAAGUUUAUGAUUUAUCCACAGAAGCAGCACUGUCUAUAUCUGUCUCUGUCAGUCUUUAUGUGUCUGUAUUUGUUAGUAGCUCUCUGUGUCUGUACCUGUCUUUAUUUUUGUCCUUAUCUGUUUGUUUCUGUUUGUAUCCCUCUAUAAAUGUCUACAUCUGUUUUGAUCGGUCUCUUUCUGUUUUUAUCUGUCUGUGUCUAUUUGUAUUUCUGUCUGUAUCUGUAUGUCUGCAUCUGUCCGUAUCUUGUCUGUCAUCCAUCCCUCAGUUCUCUUGGUGCCCCCCUCUAACAGUCCCCUACACACAAACAGGUUUCAGGGGUACUGAGAGUCCAUCUGCUGACCUGCAUGUCUCUCUGCUGGUCUCAGUAUUUCUGAUCUGCUCUCAGGUUGCUGGUCUCUGUGUUUCUGCUCUUCUCUCAGGCUGCUGGUCUCGGUGUUCCUGGUUUGCUCUCAGGCUGCUGGUUUUGGUGACAGGUGAUGGAUGGAGGCUUUUCUAACCCUGUAAGUGCUCUAAAAACUCAUUCAGGCUUUCAUCACCAAACACGUCUGUAAGGGGAUGUGCUAAUAGCCCCUCUUCUAUCAAGUUAUUUGUAUGUCUAAAUAAUUUCAGAAAUUAAACUAUUAAUCAUGGGGAGGGGGCGGCUGACACCAAGCAUGCUGAGCUGCUCCUAAAUGCACAGUGAGGUGUUUAUGGUCAGCUCCGUCAAACUGCUCUAAUUGCUUAAUUGCUCGUCUGUUGGUGGCUGUUAAAAGUUCCCGUCUGCGCAGAAUUUCAGCCGAAUUAUCCAAAGUAAAACCAAAUGUGUGCUUUGAGGUUUUAAUAAAGAUAUGAGAGUGUUUGUAGGUUUUUCUUUGUAGGGCUCCAGGUGGAGGUGCUCACCUUCAGAGGAGAAAUGUGUCAAAGAAAAGCGGCUCUCUGUCUGAUCCUGGUCUGAUCUCAGCAGAGAGAGGAGCUGAGUGGAAAAAGGAGAGAUGUUCACCCGUGGAGGUGAGCGGAGGUGUUGCUGCUUCACGCUCCGGCAGCUCUGUGAGGCGUUCACGGCCGCAGCGAUCCCACAGUCUCUUUGUUAUUACGCAGGUCCAAGUCCAACACAAAGAGAUCCAGUGUUUUUGAUAUGAGUAAUGCAUUAACCUGCUCAGCAAAAGUUCAGCUUAAACGUAUGGGCUUGGACAGCACAAGAUUUAUGACGAUGGCUGAAGAAAUUAUGCUUUUCUUCCCCCAAAGACACUUUAAUUGUGUAAUUACUGCCAGCUGCUUUUCAUUUAAGGCUGUCUUUAAUUAGGGCGAGAGGUCCGCGGUUCAAGCCCCCCCCCCUCCUCCAGGAUGAUUAGCCAAAUCCUCCGCUAAACUCAUUUGUUAUUCAGGCUUUGCGCGCAGCCUCCCGUCGGGCCGCAGACAGAACCCCGGAGCCCAAUUUCCUUCACAGCCGCCCUCCUUAUCCUCCACCUCAUCAGCAACAAUUGUCCUGAAAUAAGCAGCAGCAUAUCUGUGUUUGCUUUCCUUAUUAGGCUCCAAAUGUAGAGAAAACAUAUCAGGAGCGGGGAGCCGAGAGGGCCCUGCACCUGAUAAUCUGAAUAAAUCUGUUCCAUCACAUUUUGCCACGGCCUCCUCCAGAGGAGCAGCAGGGGGGUGAGGAGGUGGAGGGUCCAGCAGAGGCCUGGGAGAGCAGGUUUGUGCUUUUCUGCAAGGUAAUUGGUGAAUUCUUAUUCAAGAUGUUCCAAACGAAGCAUCUGACUGUGAGGACUUUAAUUUCUGUCUACAGCAACCAAACCUGGAGGAGGACAAAGAAAAAGAGGGUCUGCAGAGGGGGCAUCAGACCACAAACAUCUGUGCUGGGUUUGGGAGGAAAACUCAAAUGUUUAAAGAAUGUAAAAAAAUUAAAAUAGAUAAAUAGAAACGUAUUUUUUUCUGUUAAAACAGAUGAAGGAAUAGAGGAUGGUCAUAAUAAUGAUAAUUAUAAUAAUAAUAAUAAUAAUCAUUAUUAUUAUUAUUAUUACUAUUAUUGUUUUCACAAACGUACAGAGUCAGUCUGAGUCAGCUCACAGUGAAAAUGAACAUGACUACAGAAUCAUCUGGGUACGUUUGUGAAAACAAUAAUAAUAAUAAUAAUAAUAAUAAUAAUAAUAAUAAUAUUAAUUAUUAUUAUUAUUAUUAUUAUUAUUAUUAUUACUAUUAUUAUUAUUAUUAUUAUUAUUAUUAUUAUUGUUGCUGUUGUUGUUUUCACAAACGUACAGAGUCAGUCUGAGGAUUCAUUCAUGUAAUAAGUCAAAUGGACCCAGAUGAUUCUGUAGUCAUGUUCAUUUUCACUUUGAGCUGACUGGGUAAAAUAAUUACAGGUUCUUGUGAAAAGCUGCAGGUGUAACUUAUCCUUCCUCAUUAUUUACACUGUUUCAGAUAUUUGACUGUGAGAGUAUUUAAAUAUAACUGCAGAAUAACUCCUUUAUCUGCAGUUACUUCUUCAUCACAUAUUCAGUUUUUAAUCCGUCUGCAUUUUUAAAACAUUACAAAUUUAAAGCCAUCAUUAGUGAUGUGUUUGUGAAGCAAAUGAAUACACUGAAAUUGGUUUUCAAUGACUGGUUCAUUGGUUAUUCUGGGUUUUUAUCAAAUGUUUUUCAGCUUCAUCAUUUGCUCAUGGGUUCAAAUUUUGUUCAGGUUUACUGUGAGGGCUGAGAGGUUCCCUUUUGCUGUUUGAUUUUCUACACUGUUUUGUUUAUGCAAAGUGUUUAAAGUACUUUAGAAAUACAGUAAUGAUAAUAAUAAUAAUAAUAAUAAUAAUAAUAAUAAUAAUAAUAAUAAUAAUUUGGUUAGUAGUAAUAGUAGUCGUAGAAGUAGUAGUAGUAGUAGCAGUAGUAGUAGUAUCAUCAUAAUAACCGCGUUAAUAUCAUAAUUAUGAGAUUAACAGUACUAAUACAACUGCUUCUAAUUAUUAUUAUUAUUAUGAUAAUUAUAACCAAAAGUGUAUGAAUAAUAUUUGAAUGCAGCAGUAUUGACACUUUUCACUUUGGUUUUUUUCUAUGUGUUAAAUGGGUCCUGAGUGUGUGUAACACUGUCAUGGUCUUUGACUGACCUAGUCACCGCUCUGAUUUACUCUUAAAUAUUGCUCUGUCAUCUUUGGUUAUUUGAGUAUUUUAUUAACUAUUUUAGUAUUUAAAUUGAUUGAUUCUGUUUGAUGACUGUAGACUCUAACUGAGUGCUUGGGGUUUAUCAACAGUGAGAUGUGCCAAUCAAAAGUGUUGUUAUUGCCAUCCAUCACAGCUGUUUAUCAAUGGUGGGCAAAAAUGGACAAAAACCCACCAAAUGAAUUAAUCAAUAAAAUAUUUGGAGUUUAGAUAAACUAAUGCCGACAGCUGUAUUAAGGUCUAUGAAAGUGUUCCAUAGGGCUCUGUAUUAGGUCUGAGCUCACUUAUAACUCCUGAUAUUUCUGUUUUUUUGAAGAAGAAAAAACAAAAAAAACAGACAUCUUACUUUCAGUGAUAAGACGCUACAAUUAGUUUGAUAUUAAGUUCAGAAACAGUACUUUUAGUGUUUCAGCACUUUCAGGUUUAAAUUAAGCUUUUGAAUGUUGUUUAUGAGGUCCUGAUGCCCCUGCUGAAUAUUAUGGUCUGUCUGCUGUACUCUUUAUAAUAUAAUAAUAAUAAUAAUAAUAAUAAUAAUAAUAAUAAUAAUAAUAAUAAUAAUAAUAAUAAUAAUAAUAAUGAUAAUAAUAAUAACAAAGGUUACAAACUGAGUUGAUAUGAGGUUAAACUGAGCCCUGAGGUCACUUCACACUGAGGAGUCAUAAAUAUAAAAUAUAGAACAAUCAUCUCACCCUGUUGUUCUGCUGAUCUUUAUUUUCCCUUUCAGAGAAACAAAAUUCAGUCACAGAGAAACUUGGUUUUUAUUUGACAGUGAAUCAAAAAGUGUGAUUAUAUCGGUAAUGAUUUCAGUAACGGCCAACAUGAGUUUGAACUAAAAGCAUUUCUGAUCUAUAUGCACCUUGAUACCUCUGUGAAUGUAAACCCUGCAGCACUUUCUAUCUUGGUAAAGGGUCAAAUCACCGAUAAAGGGUUUGGAGUCCUCGUCUGAAACCUCUUCAGCGUCUCUCAGACCUCAGCAGAGGGAGCUCGGCUCUGCUUUCCUGAUGUUCCUAUGUUUCCUAGACAGAUAUUUAGUCUGCUGUGAUGUGAUGUAAGUCUCUGCCAUUGUUCUCCGGCUGAAUGUGGAUGUUGAAAGGGUUUGUUGAAAAGUUUCAGAGCCAAGGAGAGAAGCAGAGCCUCAGAGUCGCUCUCAGUGUGUUGAAUCUGUAUUUAUAACCCUGAACCUGGACUUGUGCUCCUAUAGCUGUGUGUGUAUUACUGUGAUGGAUAUAAAUGAUGAGGCGUGUUCUGCACCUCGAGGCUGUAAAUGUGGUCUUGUCUGAAUAAUCACAUGUCAUCCCUCGCUGAAAAUAAACAGCAGUAAAGGAAAACAAAGAGGGAAAAACAGAAAAAUGACUUUUCUCCCUCAAACCUCUCCAGCCCUCAGAGUGUCUGUAAACGCCACCCUCUCACAACAAAAUGAGCCGGGCCUAAGUGCUGCCAUUCCUCUGCGUCUGCGGCGGCCCCCACCGGCUAAAAGGUAAACCACCUGACACUGAGUGAGGAGGAGGGUCCCUGGGCCCCUCAACUGUCACAUACGUGAAUACAAAUGCUCUCUUUUUUCCUACCAGCCAUUUCAGCUCAAAAAGAAAACUCCAGAAUAAAAAAGGCAUAUCAGGAGAUGCUGCCCCUUUUUUCAUCAUGCUUUGGGCCUGUCUGUGUGUGUGUGUGUGUGUGUGUGUGUGUGUGUGUGUGUGUGUGUGUGUGUGUGUGUGUGUGUGUGUGUGUGUGUGUGUGUGUUUGGUUGACAGCUCUGACAGAGGCUUGAUAUUUUACUCAUGGAAAUGAUGCCCUCACCCAGCCAUCAGCGUCGCACAGUCUCCCUGGGUGUCCAUCAGCGUUGGAGGAGGAAUAAAAAGGUUGUAAAAAGGAUGUUUUUCAUGCUAGAGUGGCCGAGCUGGGGUGGGGUGUUAACGGGGGGAGGGAGAGGGGUAAGGGUAGUGAGGAGUGACAUACAUGUGAUUACCUAUGCAUUAGAGCAGAUGAUGAGGGCCUUACAGCUCAGGAUGCUUCAAAAGAGCUGAAACAUUAUGCAACACAGCAGCAGCAGCACUGUUUAUCUAAAGCAUAUGGUUUUCCUGCUUUCCUAAUGCUGCCGUACACACGAACCGUGUGUGUGUUACACACAGGAGUUGUAAUUUCACAAGGUUUUAAAGGAACAUUUCAUUUAGUUAUUGCACCUCAAACAGUCUGCUGAAACAAAACUCAAAUUCUACCUCCAUGUAAUGCUGAAUGGACUAGACUCUCCAUUAAACAGGUCCUGAUCCAUUCAACAGGAGGACUGGGUCCUCCUGUAUAGUGUGGGUGACAUGAAAUAAGUGUUGCUUGUGUAUGCUCGUGUUGUCUCUGGUCAGUGGUCCCUGUUUGCCUGUUUGGUUACCACUGGUCAUCAAUAUUUCAUUCAUUUGUUUCAUUUAUUGGUGUUUUUGUGGAUGCAGAUGAGCAGAUGCAGAACUUCAGUCCAAGAUUGGAUACCAAGGAGACAAGAAAGAAGAUCAUGUUGUAAGUUUAGUGUCUGGCAUGUCGAAUCACGACAUAUCUUAUUGGGGCCACAGGGCAAAUGCACCGAGGCACUGGCCCCUAUACAAAAGUAUAGGGCAAGUGGAUUUUUUUUUUACUCCUGUUCCAGUCAAAUUUUGAUUCGCUUCUAGUCUUACAGUUUGAAGAGUUGUAGGACAAAUUAUAUAUCAAAAUGUGCGGUUUGAUCGUGAUCUAUUUUUAUUGUAUACACAUUUUUGCGAUGUAAGUCCAAAAAAGGGGCAAUAUUGGAGUUUUUCAAAUGUCUUCUGGUUUUGCUCCUUUUUUAUUGUGUGGUAAAAAAAAAUACUUGAAAAAGGAAUGUUAGUAGUAGGUAUGCUUCUUGUAUUUAAUAUCACAAUGCUACUAGUAUUCAUUUUUUUUAAAUCUCUGAAAAAUGGUGGUGAAACCAUGGUGGAAACCAUGGUAAUAGCCCCUGUUGCCCUAUAAAAAAUUUCACAGAGGUCUGGUCUGGUUGUAUAUUACUGUACUUCAUAUCAUAUCAUAUCAUAUAACACAUAUUGUAUCAUAUCAAAUUACAUGUAUCAAAGGAUAUCACAUCAUCUUACAUCAUAAUGCCAUGUAUCAUACAACAUCAUAUUAUAAUGCAUCACACAUGGUAUUUUAAAGUAAUACAUUAAAUUGUAUUUUAUCAUUUUGAAUUUGACCACAUUGUAAUGUAUCAUAACAUGUUUCUUAUUGAAUUGCAUCAUAAUGUAACAUGUAUCAUAUCGCACCAUCUUUCAUUGUUAUGUAAAGUAUUAUAUCUUGCUGUAACCUAAUGCAUUGUACUGCAUAAUAUCCUGAUGUAAUGUCACACUGUUACAUGAAAGUGUGUUCUAUCUAAUCCUAUUGUAACAUAUCACAUCUCACGGUAUCCUAUUGUGCUGCAUCCUGUAAUUAUCAGCCUAUCACUUGACUGACUCACAGAGACACUUGACCGCUUACACACUCAAACCUACAGACAGUUCAAAGAAACUAUUAACCAAACUUAAUUUUAUUCUUCUACAUCACGACAAAGGUAGAGGAACUACAGAAAAACCCACAGAGGUUGAACAUAGAGUAAAAGCCUGAGAGUUCACUCAGAGAAUAACUCCUCUACAAGAGUCGUUUCUAUUACACCACCACAAUGUACAUUAUUCUUCAGAUAUUUCUGACCAUAAAUUCAUCCUGUCAGGUAAACAUGCUCAUUUCCAGGCCCUGUGGUUCUCUGAACUAGCUCCAUCAAUCACACCGUAAGCCUCAAGUCUCAGCUUUCAGGAGCUUAACUCUGAGCUGGAGGGCAGAAAAGGUUAGAUGACAGUUAGGAUCAGCUGAUCGGGCUAAGGUAGAUGGGUUGGUGAAGAAAUGGAAGAAAAACAGCUGAUCUUUGUUGAUUUAUAGUAAAAAAAAAAAUACAGCUGAUUUCAUAAUAUCAUAAUUAAUGAUGCAGGAGACCACCAGUCUUUUGAAAUUUUUGAUAGAGAAACAGCAGAUAUUUAUUGAUUUAUGAUGGAAAACAACAGCUGAUAUUUGGUGAUUUAUGAUGUGGGGAAAAAAAGAGCUCAUCUUUUUUGAUUUAUGAUACUAAAAACAGCUGAUCUAUUUUGAUUUAUGGUACUAAAAACAGCUGAUCUAUGUAAAUUUUUAAUGGAGUAAAAUCACCUGAUAUUUGUUGAUUUUUAAUGGAGAAAAAUCAGCUGAUCUUUGUUUAUUUAUGAUACAGGAAAAACAGUUGAUCCUUUAUGAUUUGUUAAGUUUCACUGGUUUUAAUGUUUUUUUAAAAUGUACACUCUGAUCUUCAAAGCUGACUUGAAGCUCUAUCCAGAGAGUAAAAACAAGAAGACUCUACUGCAACAAAACAUUAUGAAGAAAAUAACUUGACUUAUUUUUGUUGCAUAUUUUCUAUUUUGAAGAAAAAUGGCUGCAGCCACCUCCAUGGAGCUUCUGAGGUUUGAUAAAACAUGAUUUUUAAAGAUACCAAUUGGAUUCACUGUUAAAAUUUUGAACUUCAAAAGCAAGAGUGCUCGAUCCCCAUAAAAACUGUUAUAUUUGUAAUAAUAGAGGUACAUGGACAUACUUGGCUGCUUUUUAUAGGUAAACUUAAAAGUUCGACAUGGAACAUGUUAAAAUCAGCCCCUCUAUUCACUUCCGAGGUAUUUUCAUAAAUCCUCAUGUAGCACUGAAGACAUUAAAAUCUUCAGUCUCCGAUCACUGAGACUCUCCUGACUACACACUGCAGAAAUGCAAAGACCCAGUUUUUCUCCUAAUGGAGAGAAGGAUGAAGUGUUGUCUGAAUAAACUUUGCUCUGCUGUGUAGCAGAUAUACAAUCCCCUGCCAGGAUCUUUUGAUCCAUUUAUGUGAAGCUUUUCAGCAAGCAGAGUUAUCAGUGAUUGUCCACAUAUCAUACUCAUAACAGUUAAGAGGGAGAGGCUGCUGUGCAGGCCUGAUGGCUGUUUUCAGAUACCUCAUUAAGAUUCCUACAACUUCAUCACCUUUUCACGUGUUCACAUGUGUUUUAGGAAUCAGUGUUCUGUAACCUGAGAGAGAGUUUUUUUAAAAAAAAACACGUCAUUAGGAGGUUAAGGUGUGCAGCAUGGAAAAUACUGAGCUGUGCAUAACAGCAAUUAUCCCAGUUUAAUAGAUAUGCCUCAGUCUGAACGCUGCUCCAGGUCCAGGAGUUUGAAGCUCCGAGUGAGCCACAAAAAGCGACCUUCAGACCGAUUUCAUCUGCAGUCUGAUCUCAAACACUAAAACCAGCUCAGGGUCACGUCACAGGACCUACAAUCUGUCAAGUUUUACAGUCAAUAAUAUGUCAAAUAAAGACAGCUGUUUGAGUUCGAGAUACUGUAUUAUUGAUGGCUGCUUAGCUAAAAGAAACACCAGGGGCCUCAGGACCACCAAAUUAAGACCUCCUCACAGAAACUUCCAGAUGAACUCCAAGUCAGGUUUCUUUUACUGUUCAAAUGAGGUUAACAUCAACACAAAAAACUCAACACUGGGGCUGUCACAUAAUUAUCUUUUUCAUUGUGAUUAAUCACUGAAUUUAUAUCAUGAACAGCCAUUAAUCACAUUUUAAUCAUGUGAGUAAAAUUCCAGUGUUUUGCAUUUUAACACUAGUUUUCAUACCAAUGUGAAGCUAUUCAAAGAUGAAGUCAAUGGAAUGUUCUUUUUGAUCUUGAGAUUUUAAUAAUCAAAGUGGCUGCUAAGAAUAUUGAGUAAAAUGAUGACUGAUUUGAAUAUUCAUAUUAUUAUGGCCUAUAUGAGGGUAAUAAAUCAGUGGAUCAGCUUGGGCUCUCUAAACUGAGUCAUGGAUAUUUUUAGACACCUCGUCCUGCAGCGUUCAGGGUACAGAUGUUUGUCUCCAGGUGAAUGAACAUGGUCUCCUCUGGUCUUCUAAAGCUCUGACAUGGAUCCCUCUCUCUGAGUUCUGGACGCUGUCUCUGCUCUGUUCUCUGCAGAUGCUGAGCCUUGCCUUACUCUGCCUUCACUCCCAUGAAAAGUCUCAUUGUUGUGAAUUAAUGUUCAAAAAGGACAGAAGAAAGAAAAACAACAUUCAAAGAGAGAAAGGGAGGGAGGAGGGAUCCUGAUUUUUACAAACUGCAGACCUCCAGAACUAAAAGUUUAAAGAAGUCCCCUGAUAGUUCCCUUUAGGAGCGGCUUGAAGUCCUUGUCUUGUAAUAAUAUAUAAUGCCUGCUUGGGUCAUCUGCAGUGGAGCGGCGGCCAUGACCUCGGCCAAUUACAGACAGGCAUCAGCGAAGCCUCUCCUUACAGCAGCCCCAUCUCCUGAUGUACAGAGUAAUUCUCUGCCUCUUCAGCCAGUCUGAGGCUGACACUGCAACUCCCCGGUGUUUGGCUUUUUUAGAAACAGCUGGGUUUAAAGAAAGAGGGCAUGGGCCACCAAAGUCCUCACAUAACUGGAUUGUUAAAGUCUGGCUGAGGUGGACCGGGUGGUGAGACCUGCUGGGGGUCUGACAGAUGUGCAGAGCUUGUUUUUUUUCUUGCAGGCAUGUUUCUCAUUUGUGUUUCAAUUUGUUAAUUCAGCUUACACUCAUGAAGCAUUGCUCGCUGAGCUGCUUGCCAAGUUGACGGUGGUGGUAGUAUGAUUGGAGACCCUCAGAGGGGCCGGUUCAGUGUUUUUUUCCUCCUCUGCUGGGAGCUCUGGAAGGCCGGCAUAAAGGUAUCUGUGCAACCUGAACACUGACACCAUCAUGUCUGUCAGGACACCCAGAGAGUCUGACAGAAGACCCAGCUGACUGUUUCUGACAGUAAACAUAUGAUCCCUGUUUUCAGUCUUGAUCCUCCAGGAUUUAUAAGUGCUUGUCCCUGAGCAUCCUGAAGUUUUUACAGGGUUCACAGGACCUUUAUUAGCUCCAGCUGCCUGACGGAUCCUGAUCUGCAGGUCAGCAUGUUGGGAAGCUUUCAGGUGAGUUGAGUUAACAAAUAAAGACGGAAUCUUUCUCCAAACCCAGAAAGUUACAGGAAAGUUACAAGAGGAAAAAUCAGGAUUUCCAACCAGAGAUUCAAAACAUAAAAAUGAAGACUCAAAUCCCGAUCCAGAUCCAGGCAGGAAUAAUAGUCCAUGCUAUAUUAUUUUAAACCUAGUUUGUCCUGCCAUAACAGAAAAUACAGUAUUUAUAGACUUAAAUCUAAAUUCUGCCAAACAGUAACUUUGGCACUGUAUGAUUUAGCCAGUACAACUCCAAAAUACUUUGCACUGAGUGUUUACAGAAGGAAGUCAUUUAGCUCCACAGGUCUUUGAGAGGCUUUAACAAACAAGCGAGAAAUGAGAAAUACAUGAAAACACAAGGAAACAAAAACUAUACAGUUAAAAUACCAGAACCCAGCUGAGAGAGACUGAUAAAAACUGUAAUAUUUGAUAUAAUAUUUAAGAAUGUGUAUAUAUUUCAAUUUAAAUUCAGUUUUAUUUAUUCUGAUCUUAUUACUAACACAUUGUUAUACUAUUUUGUUUUUGUACAGCUGACUGAAAAGUAAAAAUUCAAGACUACCUGUCUUGCUCCUGUACAAAAGGCAAUAAGCCUCUACUUUGAUCUGUUUUAUUCGAUUGAAUUCUAUUUUAUUCGGCUCUAUUCUGUUCAAAUUUGAUUUUAUUCUUUUCUCUUCUGUUCUUCUGUUCUACUUCUAUUCUAUUAUGUUGAUUCUGUUCUAUUUUAUUGUCUUCUUUUCUAUUUUAUUUCUUUCUAUUCUGUUAUAGCGCUAAGGGACUGUUUUAAAUCAACAGACUGGAAUGUACUGCUGGAAACAGAUGUGGAUAGAACACUGACAGACAGGUUGACUGCUUUACUGAAUAUGUCAACUUCUGUAGAGACACAGUUAUACACACAAAGACUGUUCGCUGUUUCCCGAACAACAAACCUGGAUCACAAGAGACAUACACUGUGUGCACAAUUAUUAGGCAAGUUGUAUUUUUGAGGAUAAAUUUUAUUUUUGAACAACUACAGUGCCCUCGGUCAAUCCAAAAUGUUAAUAAACCUCAAACCUUAAUAUUUAAGGGAGUAAAAGUGAGAUUUUGGCUUCCUUAGGAGAAUAUCUAUGUGUGCACAAUUAUUGGGGGCAGCUAUUAGUGUGCAGAAUUAUUAUGCAACUAAAUUAAAAAUGAAAAAUUUUCCAUCUCACUUGUUUAUUUUCACUUGUUAAAGUGAGAAUGAUAAACAAACAACUCAAAAUUUACAAAUAAAAAUUGUUGAAAUUUAAAAAAAAAAAUCAGUGACCAAUAUAGCCACCCUUAUUUUCAUCAACAGUCAUAAGCCUUUCAUUCAUGAAGUCUUUCAGUUUCUUGAUCUGUUGACGAUCAACUUUUUGUGUUGCAGUAACCAAAGCCUUCCAGACACUGUUCCAGACACUGUUCAGAGAGGUGUACUGUCUUCCUUCACUGUAAAUUUCCCGUUUAAGAAGGGCUCACAAGUUCUCAACAGGGUUUAGGUCAGGUGAAGAAGGAGGCCACGUCAUUAUUCUUUCGUUUUUAAGGCCUUUACUGGCGAGCCACAUAGUGGAGUACUUUGUUGCAUGCAAUGGAGCAUUGUCCUGCAUAAAAAUCAUGGUUUUCUUGAAAGAUACAGACUUUUACCUGUACCACUGCUUGAAGAAAGUGUCUUCUCAAAACUGGCAUUGGAUUUGGGAGUUGAUUUUAAGUCCAUCUUUAACCCAAAAGGUCCAGCUAGCUCAUCUUUAAUAAUUCCAUCCCAUACCAGUACCCCGCCUCCACCUUGCUGGUGUCUGAUUCGAAGUGGAGUUCUGUGCCCAUUACUGAUCCAGCCACGGGCCCAUCCAUCUGGUCCGUCAAGAGUCACUCUCAUCCCAUCAGUCCAUAAAACCUUUGAAAAAUCUCUCUUCAGAUAUUUCUUGGCCCAGUCUUGACGUUUCAACUUGUGUCUUGUUCAGUGGUGGUCAGAUUUCAGCCUUUCUUACCUUGGCCAUGUCUCUGAGCACUGAUCAUCUUGUACUUCUGGGCACUCCAGGUAGGUUGCAGUUCUGGAAUAUGACAGCACCGGAGGAUAAGCGAUUCCUGGUAGCUUUACGUUUGAGUCUUCUCAAAUCUUUGGCAGUUAAUUUGCGUCUUUUUUUCUUAACACAUUUCUUGCGACCCUGUUGACUAUUUGCAUCAAAAUGUUUGCUGAUUCUGUGAUCACGCCCAAAUAUCUAAGUGAUUUCAAGAGUGCUGCAUCCCUCUGAAAGACUUUUUACAUUUUUUGACUUUUCAGAGUCACUUAAAUCUCUUUUUUGGCCCAUUUUACCUAAGGAAAAGAAGCUGCCUAAUAAUUAUGCACACCUUGAUAUAGGGUUUUGAUCUCCUUAGGCCCCAGCCUCCCUCAUUACACUAAUACACAUUAACUGAUAUGCUUAUAUCCAAUAAGCAUUCAAGUUUCUACAGCUUGGAGUUGGAAAAUAUGCAUAAAAAUGAUGAUAUGAUCAAAAUACUCACUUGCCUAAUAAUUGUGCACACAGUGUAAAAGCAAUCCUUAACCAGAAAAAGAAAGUUUUUAAAGAUGGUGACAAAGAACGACUCAAACAAGUGCAACAAGAGUUGAAGAGGAGACUGAAGAUGGCAAAGCUGGAGUACAAAAAGAAGAUAGAGAAUAAUCUACAACACAGCAACAUCUGUGAGGUGUGGAGAGGAAUUAGUACCAUCUCUAGACACAGCAAUAAAUAGAAAAGACAGCCAGUGGUGGGUGAUCUGGAAAGAGCUGAUGAACUCUACCUGUUCUUCCACAAGAUUUGACACUCCCACUUUGUUACACCCACUUACCUGCUUCUCCACCUUCCUCUCUGCAAAAAAUCUCCACUACAACUGCUCCCCUUCCUCCUGCUUAAAGACUGUGCUGCAGGGCUUUGUCAACCUCUCCACAGGAUCAUCAACCUGAGUCUACAGCUGGGGCGAGUACCUGCUCUGUGGAAAACAUCCUGCAUUGUGUCAGUACCAAACACAAAAUGUCCUGCUGAACUCAAUGACUGCAGACCAGUGGCCCUCACUUCACACAUCAUGAAAACCCUGGAGCGGCUGAUUCUACACCGUCUGAGGUCUGAGGUCAGAGAUAAACUGGAUUCUCUGCAGUUUGCACAGAAAGAACACAUUGGAGUGGAUGAUGCUGUCCUCUACAUACUUCACUGUGCCCUGUCUCAUCUGGAGGAGCCUGGGGUUUAUGUGAGAAUCAUAUUCUUCGACUUUUCAAGUGCAUUCAACACCAUCCAACCUACCAUACUCAAAAACAAGCUCACAGAGAUGGUAGGUUGGGAGUGGAUCCUUCCUGUGUUUCCUGGAUCACAGAUUACCUGACAGGAAGGCCACAGUUUUUCAGGCUGGAGAACUGUGUUUCUGGGACAUUAAUGAGCAGUACAGGGGCUCCACAAGGGACAGUGCUGGCGUCAUUCCUGUUCACACUGUACACAUCAGACUUCAAAUACAGCACUUAGUCCUGCCACAUCCAGAAAUACUCAGAUGACGCUGCUAUUGUGGCACGUAUCAGAAAUGAACAAGAAGUUGAAUACAGAGAUCUGAUAAGAGCCUUCAGUGACUGGAGUCACAAAAACUGCCUCCUCCUCCUCAACAGCUCAGAGCCAAAGGAGAUGGUCAUAGACUUCCGUAGAUCCAAACCCCCUCUUCAGCCAGUGAACACCUGUGGAGUGGACAUCGCGGUGGUGACAUCAUAAAAAUACCUAGGUGUACAUCUGGAUAAUAAGUUGGGUUGGUCUAAGAAUAUAGACUACAUCUACAGAAAGGGGCAGAGCCGCCGUUUUUCCCUGAGAAGACUCUGAUCAUUAGACAUCUGUGGUAAGAUGCUGCAGAUGUUUUAUCAGUCUGUGGUGGCAAGUGUUCUGUUCUACGCUGCAAUCUGCUGGGGAGGAAGCAUAAACCACAAAAAUGCAAGACGUUUUGACAAACUGGUGAAAAGGCUGGCUCUGUGGUUGGACUCAAGCUGGACUCAGUGGAGGAUGUGGUGGAGAGAUCUAUACUGAGGAAGGUGGAGUCUAUUCUUAAGAACAUGGAUUACCCACUUCACAACACCUUGAUGGACCAAAGGGCAAAUGGUGGUGGACGGCUCCUCUCUCUUUGCUGCAUGACAGAAAGAUUCAGAAGAUAUUUUGUACCAACAGCCAUCAGACUUUAUAUCUCUUGUGUAAAUAAUAGAAAACUUUUAGAGAAAUAUUAUGUGAGACAACAGACAAUUGAAUUUCUCUUCAGGGGUGAAUAAAGUUCUUCUUAUCCUUAUUCUAUUCUAUUAUAUUCUUUUUUUCUAUUCUAUUCUAUUCUUUUCUAUUCUAAUUCUAUUCUGUCUGGCUUUAAUCUAUUCUAUUCACUUGUAUUUUAUUCUAUUACGUUGUGUUCUGUUUUUUCUAUUCCAUUAUAUUCUGUUCUUUUUUCUAUUCUUUUCUUUCCUGUUCUAUUCUAUCAUGUUCUGCUCUUUGCUUUAUUCUGUUCCAUUCUUUUCUUCUCUAUUCUUUCUAUUCUAUUAUGUUUGGUUCUGUUUUUUUUGUAUUCUACUCUUUUCUACUCUGUUCUAUUUUAUUCUUUCUGUUCUAUUUUUUUGCGUUUUUUUCUUAUUUCUCUUUGAUGUUUCAUUUUCAACCUCAUUUGUAGAUGCAGUAAUGAACUGUGAUCACUGACAAUUGUUUUUCCAAGUGCUACACAAUUUUACUGGUUGAAGAGUGUCAAAUGGAACCAGGUGGCACCAAAUCUAUGUAAAUUUCAAUGAAGGCCUAGCUCUGGUCUUUUUGUGCAACCAUGGUCAUGAGCUUCUUUUUAAAAUUGAUUAUAUCUAUGAUAAAACAGGUUUUGUUGUUUAACCUUCAUUGCUCUUUUGACUACAUUGAGCGGGAUGAUUUGCUUAUUUACAGAUCUGUCUCAACAUGUAAGUAGAUGGGAAAAGUCUUUGUAGGCCAGAGUGCAUCAUGGGACUGACCCAGAUGUUGUUUUAAGAUUUGGACACAAUUUUGAAUCUUCAAAGCGUUGGAACAAUUCCCGGGGGCCUGGGUUCAUGGUUUUACUCUACACUGUGAUUUUUAGUGAUAAAUCCUUUAAUUUAGUCUUCAAAAAAUUCAGUAUACAGGAAUUGCAUUCUUCCACUCUUCUACACUCUUUUUAUACAACCCUAUUUCCAAAAAGUUAGGAAUUUAAAUGCAGAAAAUUGUUUGUAAAAAGUAGUUUCAGGCUCAUGUUUCUUAUCGGUUUUCACCAAUCCUCUGUUGACUUUAGUGAAUCCAGCAGACCACAUUCUGGAGUCUGACAGUCAAAUGUUGUCCAAUUCCUGCCUGAUAGAGUUUUCAGCUGCUCAACAGUUCAGGGUCUCCUUUGUUCUGUUUAGGGUGUCAUGAUGCUCCAAAUGUUUUCAAUGGGGGACAAGUCAGGACUGCAGGCAGACCAGUUUCUUAGCAGGACUCUUCUCCUACAGAGCCAUGCUGUUGUAAUCCCUGUUGUCAGAAUAUGGUUUGUCAAUCUUUUUUUUUUUGUUCCAUUGUAGUCUAUCUAUUCUAUUCUAUUAUGUUGUGUUCUGUUUUUUAACCUUUUUUAUUUUACUCUGUUUUGUUUUAUUCUGCUCUAUUCUAUUCUUUUUUUCUAUUCUAUUCUAUUCUAUUCUAUUCUAUUCUAUUCUAUUCUAUUCUGUUUUGUUCUAUUCUGAUUUGUUCUAUUCUAUUCUGUUUUUUUCUAUUCUAUUCUAUUCUAUUGUGUUCUGUUCUUUUUCUCUAAUUCAUGGUUCAUUUUUAAUCUCUUUUGUAGAUGCAGUGAUGAACUGUGAUCACUGACAAUGGUUUUGAAGUGAUUUUGAGUCCAUGCAGUGAUUUUCCCUGCAGAGUCCUGCCUGCUUUUAAUGCAGUGCUGCCUGAAAACCUGAAGAUCAGGAUCACUGGGUCUUGGUUUUGGUCCUUGUUCCUUGUAUACAGAGAUGUACUGUGUUAUGUCUAAAAGCCUUCGACAAACAUGGUGACUAUCAAGUUUAAGGUUUUCUUCAUGAAGUCGAUCAGACUUCAAAGAAAACCAUUGAAUUUCUUCCUCAUCUACAUUUCUCCUGGUGCUCUGAUUCUUUUAGGAUCAGAAAUGUUAAAACGAUUAAACUUGUCAUAGGAGUAAAUUGUCAGUUUGAUGCCCCAACAUUAGUAUUUGUGGUAAAUAUGAUUAAUAGGGUAAGAAAGUCUUUUCUGACCAGGAUUAAUGAUAUGACUGAUCAGACAUUGUUAUUUAAACAGCCUGCCCCAAAGAUCAAACCCUCUUCAGAUCUGGACUCAUUUGAGGUCAAACUGAAGUGUCUCAUGUCUCCUCUCCGUCAUCACUGUAAAGCUGUUCCCUUAAAAAUUUGUACAAUUUGAAGGUUUUUCAGACUCCUCCAAUGUCAACAAUGUUUCCUGGCAGCAGGUUUCUUCUCUCUGUUUCUCUGAGUGAUGUCUGGCUGUUCAGAGUGACAUUUUGUUUCUCAGAGUUUUUGGACAAAAUGCUUAAUCUUGCCCUGUGUCUCUAAUGAAAUAAAGGUGUUUUUUAUUCUUUAAAACUCAAAUGUGUUGGUCCAAAAACAACGACCUGGUUACUUCCUUUAAUCUUCUCUGUCAUCAGCUGUUGGACAGACUUUCUCUCUGCUAGACUGGAGCUCCAACAAAAACUGAUGUCAGGGAUGGAUUAUCCAAAAGUUCAGUUUUCCUUUCCCACAAAUAAGAGCUUAAUUUCCCAGAAAUCUGAGAGAUGAAUAUCUCAGAUUUUCAGCAGAGGACCGAUCGAUCGAGCGAAGAUGUUUUUCUGUCUCUAUUUUUUAGAUAAGGGUGGAAUAACUUUGCUGUGAUGGAACUUUGAAGCUGCUGUCAGGGGAGGAAGGAGUUGACUGAAGGCUCUAUUUUCGUGAUCGUCCAGCGGAGCCCGGAGUACAGCCAGUUUGGUAUUUUCAUGGACUGAUAAAUCCAUAAAUAAAAUAAAUCAAUAUUUAUUUACGUUUUUAUUACGUCAUACAUAAAUUAAAUAUUAGCAGCAUCUUCAAGUAUUGUUUUAAAUUAUUAUAUAGGGGUAAACAACGGAUGAAUUGGAGAGUCUGUUGACUCCGUUGUAUGUGUAGCCUUGCUAGCUCGAGGCUAUUGACUCUAUCGUAAUCAUAGACUGUAUAUAAGAUGGACACCGUGGUUCCGCCUUCCGCCUGUAUACGGAUUUGAAGCCAAAAAGCUCUCGGUAAUUCUGGGUUUUUCUCCACUUCCUUGAAACCAGAGCUGUGCAGUAGCGUUGUGCGCAUUCGGCCGCGCAGUCGCCGAGAGUCCCUGUGAUGACGCUCGGCUCAAACAGCGUAUUCCCCCGGAAGAGCUACGCAAUCCCUGAACGCCCAUAGGCUGUACCAGGUGUCAAUCAUAGAAAACAUGAACCCCCUAAUAACUUUUAAAAACGGAGCUGUACAGAAUAAAAAGGACUUGGGCACAAACCAGUCUUACUGUAACUAUAUGUCAACAUCACAACCGGGGGAGAAAAAAUUAUGUUCUGUGUAAUAAAUUUCUAAAGUUUGUCCACAGUCCCAUAAGCUUUGCUGGCGGAGGCGGGAUUUAUGACCUGUACUGCAGCCCACCAUCAGAGGGUGCUGUUCUCGGAGUGGCUUCACCCAGCGAGGAGGCAGACUCUGUCCAUCUUAUAUACAGUCUAUGAUCGUAAUAAAGUCCCCCUCCUUUGUCUUAUCAUCACUGAAUCUCUGCAGCUCUCCCUCCGUGUGUGUGUGUGUGUGUGUGUGUGUGUGUGUGUGUGUGUGUGUGUGCGUGCAUGCAUGCGUGUUCAUCGGGAAAAAAUAGACCGACAAGCAACACCGUAAAUCCUUUUUUUCUAAUUUAUUAAAAUAUAUUUUAUUUUGAAAAUUGACCAGAUUCUCUCGCAUCUCCCUUUCCCGACUUCCUGGCUGGUCUGAUCUGCUCUGUCCAGCUUUACAAUUGGCGCUUGCGACGCGCGCGCUGUGUGAACUGUCACAUAGGUUAACAUGGGCGCCGAUCCGAAACUCGGUGCGCGGCGCUUCCGCGUGCGGUGCUUCCUGUGUGAACCAGGCGUAAGACGUAGCAAGGGAGGAGAGAGGGCGUGGAGUGGGUUUAACACAGCCGAGACCUGUAUUGGCCAAUAACAUCAGCUCCUCUCGUUGCCUUAAAUCCGCACAUAUUAAAGUUGCAUAUAUUCAAACCUCACGUGACAAAGGUGUGUUGUGCGCAGAGAUCACAACAUAAACUCCAAUAAUGGCAUUAAAAUCGGAACCAUCUGUGCGUAAUGACGCAUCGCGCUCCGUGGCCUGGCUCUUUCUUUCAUAGAUGUUGGCAUAUAAAAUAAAUUUGGCUCACAAAACUGAAUAUUAUAAUAUUCGUAUGUUGGCUUAAAGUAAAUAACUCAUCUGAUCACUGAAACAAAUCAUCUGUUCAGCCGCCGCAGCAGCAGCUGCAGCAGGACGGGGAGAGGACAGGAGACAUGUCCAGGUCGAGCUGUGAGAAAUAAGAGGAAGAGGAAAAAAGAAAAGGAGGGAGACGAAUUACAUAUCUUGUUCACUUCAUCAUGUGUGUCUAUUUACUAGAUAUUUAAUUAAAUUUAAUUUAAUGCGGCUUCAGCUGUGUUAAUUUGGUCAGGUUGUGUGUCCAAACGCGUGCCAAACGCGCUCAUCAGAUAAGAUAUAGAUCAGAAUAUAUCUAUAUAGAUCUAAAUGUAUGUGCUGACUCUGAUUAUUAGUUGUUGAUGAUUAUUUAUUGCACUGAAAUGUGCCUGACACUGUGGAAACCUGCCGGUGAGGUAUCGGUGACGUAUGCCGUUAUGUCACAGGUCUACCAAAAUACCACUAGACCAGCUGCGCUCCGCCUGCACUGAAAGCUGACCAGGUUUGAAUCGGCGAGCUUUCAGCGCACUUUAUACGACGGUGGCGAGCAAGAAAAUGUCACUGCGCCUUCUGAUACUGUCGACACCUCUCCCUACCACGCCCAGCUUGGCGGAUCUCGGUUCGCCUCAGUCCACGAAAAUACCAAACUGGCUGUACGCCGGGCUCCGCCGGACGAAAAUAUAACUGCGCGGGGUCCGCCACCCUUCGCCACCUUACCGGCGUACACGAAAAUAGAGCCCCUUGUGUCCACUAAUGCUGAGAGACCAACACACGCAAAUUCAAAGCCUAAAGGGUUAAAGCAUCAGUGUGCUCUUGUGCUGUUUGCAGACAUUCAGAUUUAAGGUAAUUGGGCAUUUAUGUUGUUGGCUUUUUGCAGAUAUCAAAUGAGCUGCUAUGUGUUCAAUGUGUCUGAUUGGCUGAUGCUGAUGUAAACAAACCUUUUAGUUUCUCAAGUCUUGGUUUUUGGCCAGAAUUGACCUAAUACUCUUAUUCUGGUGGCAUUUGUGGAUUAGAAACAAACAGGAAUGUCAGAGUUUGGAAGACAUGACCCAUGUUUUAGGAAAUAUUAGAUAUUGGUUUGAAUAAUUGAUCCUUAAAGUCUUUGCAUCAGUCAUUUUUUCAUUUUCAUUUUCCUGCUGUCAGACCGAAUGUUUAAAACCAUGAGGUGUGUUUCGGUUUUUGGACUUUGAGCAUUGUGAUAAAUUUGUUUUGUGAAAUCUUUAUGAUUUCAGGCCAUGUCUGUACAGCUCUGACGUCGCAGUGAUGGAGGAGUUCAAUCAAUCGUUUAUUUGGCAUUGUCAUAAAAUAACAACCAAAUUCCGCUGGAGCGUACAACCUUACAUAGCAUAAUGUCGUCCAAAAGGUCAGAACCUGCAGUGAUUAGGACAGACAGAUUGAGAGAAGAAACAUUUACUCUGUUUGAUACUGGUAGCAGAUCUGUAUGUCUCCACAAACAUCGCAUGAACCCUUAUUUUUCUGGAGUAUCAAUGGUUUAGUGUUUGGAAACACUAACUGCGGUUUGAACAGGAAGAAUUCCUGGAGACAAACAAACAUGUGAGCUGUAAACAAACAAGGUUGUGAGGCCGAGAUCUUUUUAAUCAGACUGCGUAUUAACCCGACUGGGCCUUUUUAUGAGGCCAGCGGCAGUGGUCAGUAUGCUCAUGACUCUGUGUUUACGCCGUUUCUGCUGUGAUGAUUGCAUAUUUACGUGUGUACUCCUCUGUAAUGUGGCGGCGAAUUACAUCACACUCCUGUGGUUUUUCAAUUACCACAGUGACAGGCCGGCCAGCAGUAAUGACCUGAGAGUGCCCGGCUCUGCUCAGCUGCUCCCUUAAACCAGUUUGACUUUGGGUGUCUGUCAGAGCAGCCUGUGUUUACAUUGAGCUCUAACAGGAGGGGGUCUACGCCCUGUGUGAGGUACUCUGGUUCUGCUGACAGCUCGCCAAGGCUGCCUGCCGCCUCAGCCCUUGCUCAUCCUCCACAUACUAACGCUGCCUGAUGGACACGGAUAAUGGAGCAAUAUCUGUGUCAACAGCCGGCCAUAAUGUUGCAGAUCUGCUGCAUUUGGAAGGAAUGCAACUUUCUGAAAGAGCUAUCGUUUUUCCUUCACAGGCCUCAUCAACGCUAACGCCCCAACCCUGCUGCCCUGGAACAGAAUUCAGAUGAAGUGGUCCCAUUUUGAGCCUAUCCCUCCCAUCCCCGUCCUACUGAUUUGUAGUUAAAUCAUGGCUGUCAGUGUAGUAGCCUUGAUUAAAGUUCAGGGGUUUAAUAGAUCAUUUUAAAUAACCCCCAAUUACUCCCCUCUCCCAAGCCCAUCCACCUGGAUCCCUGCCCUGGGUGCAUGGCAGUCUUCAACCAACGCGGGGGCGAGCUAAGUCCAGCCUCGUGGUUCCUGUCUAUUCCCUGCGGACAUUGCGCUGCAGGCCUCCACCGACAUUCUCAGCUGUGUUCAAUCUGCUCUGAGACAUGCUGGCUAUGAGAAAAGGCCAAGUGCGCGCGCACACACACACACACACACACACACACACACACACACACACACACACACACACACACACACACACACACACACAUUCAUCCAGGGGGAGAGAUGUGGAAAAUCCUGGACAGUUAGUGAGCUUUGUUCACUUGGUUCAGCUGGAAUCUGUCCAGAAACACCCUCACACACACACACACACACACACACACACACACACACACACACACACACACACACACACACACACACACACACACACACACACACAGAGCUCCCAGGUGACUGGAGUCCGCUCCAAUUAAUCCUGUUUAACCAGUCUAAUCACACUUUAGCACAUUAAUCCUAUUUUCCAUCUAAAACACAUCAGCAGGCUCCGCCCAUUCGCUGCUCUCACUCUAUUUUUUCUUCUUCUCUUUUUUUUCUCUUUUAAAAAUAUUAUUACUAUUUUUUUAUUGCCACCGCAAAUCAGAUGAAACCCAGAGCCGGCAGCUCGGCCUGCACUCUCACUGAACUCAGACUUUUAAUCACUUUUGCCUUUUUUCCGGCUCAGCUCAGAGGUUGGAUUUAUAGCAUGAUGCUGAUGCCUUCACUCAGAAUACAUCCCUGCAGAGCUGAACAAUUACCUCUGCUGAGGUAAUAAGUAAAAGGAGCAGUGAGGAAGUGCAGUUUUCCCCCCUCACGCUGAUUAUGUUGUGUUUCUGUGUAUGCCAUGGAUACGGUCGCAGUAUCUUAUCAGUUUGACAUCUUAAGUCAGCCAGACAGGCAGAUAAUUUGAGCUACAUCCAUCUGCAGGAGGAGCCCCCCUGGAGGCGGGUCAUGAUUCAGUAUAUCUAGACCCUCAUUUAAUGCUCAGCUGUGUAAUUUCACUGCGGAUCAUCUGGAGGCUGAGAGUUAUCAGGAAGAGGGAGGUUGUUGUUCUCUUAAAUUACCUCUUCAGGGUCCGUACAUUUUAGAAAGUCGGGUUUCUGCCUCUUUACUGCCGUGCUGAGGUGUUUAGCGCCCCCUGAGGCUCCUCCUGGAAAGCCCUGGAAAAAUCACAGAUCUCACCUCUCCUGGAGCUCCUGAAAGCCUGCGGCCGGGGGUCCUGUAAAAGGUGCUGGUGCAUCGAUAAUUGAGCCCCGCAAAGCAAACAGAGCGUCAGAAAUGGUGUUUUUAAUAGGCGCCCACUGCCGCGGCUGUAGCAGCAGCAGCGGUAGAAAAGCAGGAGGCAUUAAGCUAAUUGAGUUUUAGAGCUGGAGUCAAACUGGCAGAGAGUGAUAUCCAGAGCGAUGAAAAUAAACAAAGAGCUACUCACAGGGAAACAAACGGCCUGGACGCCGUGUAAACCCUGACAUCAGGCUGCUGGGUCCCUGCUCAGCAUGUGAGCAGCAUGAUGUAAUGGGAGCUCGGCUAACCCAGCACACAUCCAGACCCCCCCUCCCCUCCACCCCCUCCCAACACACACACACACACACACACACACACACACACACACACACACACACACGGCUGCUCCUGGGGACGUGUUUUUAUUAAUCACAGGUUCAUUAGUGCACAGAGGCGCCUGUUAGAAACAGGAAAAAACACAGUGAUUGCUUGACAAGUUUCACUCCUAAUGUGACAGCUAAGCAUGAUGAAGAGACAACAGGCAUUAAUCCUGCAGGCAGGGGUGGGGCAGAGAGUCUGAAGGCCUGCAGGGUCUGAAUGUAGGGACCGGCACACAAAUCUACAGGGUUCGUGUCAUCAGAGUUCAGUUUAUGAUGGAUGCAAAACCAGCAGAAACUGCACAAACCCUCAGAUGGUCCCCUUGAUAGCUCAGCUGGUAGAGCAGAGGACUGUAGAAGAGCCUCUAGACAUCCUUAUGUUGCUAGUUCAAAUCUGCCUCAAAGGAGUGACCUGAUCUUUCAGCUUAGAGAAGAGAGGGUAACAGGAAAGUUUAUUACGGUCACACCACCUCCAGCCCCUUAGCCCAAGAACCAUCAAUUUUUUUUCUGCACAUAAAUUCAUGUCUUGUGGGUUAAAUUUCCAGUAUGUGCAACUUUUAAAGACAAAUUACUUUAUCAAAUACAUUUAUUGUGUUUUUAAUCUAAAUACAUUUUUAACUUGUGUGUGAAUGGAUCAUUAAAUUGUUCCAAGAUGAUCGUGUUUGACGAAGUUUGAUCAUCUUCAAAUAUGCUCAUCUUUUUUGCACAGUUUAAUAAAGCAUGCAGUGGGGGUCACCUCACUCUUUGUGUGUGUGUGUGUGUGUGUGUGUGUGUGUGUGUGUGUGUGUGUGUGUGUGUGUGUGUGUGUGUGUGUGUGUCUGUGCGUCUGUGUCUCUGUCUGCGAAAUACAGUCAGUUCAUCCAGGAGUGAUGGUACCAUCCUGUUCAGAGAUCUAAGGGAAGGUCUGUUCAGAUUGAAUUUUAAUUCUAUUUAUGUGUAAAAUAAUGUUCCUGUACCCUGGAUAUUAAAAAGCAUUACUGUUAAAACAUUAAAAAAUGUUAUAUUGGUUUUUACUUAAAUAAUGGUCACAAUAAAGGGGGUGUUUUUUUGGAAAUUACAAAGAAAUGGUAGUUAUCUUUAGUAUUUAAUUAUGUCAAAAAAUGUGCAUAAAUGAAGACAAAAAUGAAAACCUAAAUGACAUGACUGAAUAUUUAGCCUAUUUUAUUUUUUAUUAUUUAUGAAAUGAUAAACACAAAAUUCUGAUAAGCAGUGAGACAAUUAGUACAGUUGCUAAUUAUUCAUCCAUUGUAUCAUAAAAAAACAACAUACAGACAAUAGACCAUGACAGUUGGGUAAAACAUGUAGAAAUCUGAUACAAAAAGUCAAUCCUGAUUCACAUGAAGGUUAAAAGUCUAUACACAAAACAGAAGAGGCAAAGAGGUUACCCAUGAUUGCAAGUCUUGCUUGUUUCAAGAUACUGUGAUUGACAUGGUUUCGUACAUGAGCUUGUUUCCCUUUGAUGGACACCACCAUUUGCCCAAAUUUAGUUCUGUGCCAUGUUAUAUCACACCACACUCUAGUCAGUGUUCUGGUGUUUGCUCUAGAAGAUAUUUUCUUCAUGAAGUCCUGUAGUAACCAAGGGUAACCAAGUUUUUUUUUUUUUUUUGUCAAGAGUUUUAAGUGUUCACUUGAACAGAGACUUGAUUGGUUUUAGAACACUCUCUGAUGUAUGUAACUAUGUUGUAUUACAGUAGGAGAUGGAAGUACAUGCGUAUAGGAUCAGGCAGAGCCUGAUGUCAGAAAAGCCAGAGACAUAGUCAGGGAUCACGCCAACAUCAGUGUCUGUACAUUUUUCUGAGCUUUUCUCAUAGUUGCAAUUUUAUGAAUGUACUCAAACACAUAUCAGCAGAAUAUUUUUCAUUAACAAACAAUGAUGUGAAGGAAGAUCAUGAGCAGGAGUUUUUCUUCGACCUCUUUACCUGCUAAAGAACCUGUUAUGGUCCGUGAAAGCCGAAAAUCCUUUAUUUUUUCAAGUAACAGAUCCAGGACUUAUUUCUGCUCUGCUGUUGGUUCAGCUUUACUCUGAUAGUCGAAAACAUAGAAAGGUUUUAAGUGUGUUCAUGUAAUGAGGUUUUAUUGACUUUGACGGGCUUGGUACAGUGGACCCACUCAGAGGAGCCAAAUCUCACCUCCUCUUCUGUUCACGCCCCUUACAGAAGUGUUUUUCCAUUUUCUAUCAGCAUAUUUACUCCAAACAAAAGUCCCUCAUUACUUUGAUGUUGAAAUUCUUUAUUGGGAAUACCCCUUGAGAUGAACCAUCUUGUUUUCAAGGGGGUCCGCAAUGCAGACACAUGAAAAUCACAUACAAAAAAGCAAUACAGAAACAAAAUAGACAAAAAGAAAUACAAAUCACAAUAGACAUCAUCACAGAUUCAGACACCUCAACUAAAGACAAGGGGCUCUUUUCAUGCCUCGCCGGAGACGUGCCACAAGCGCAGCGUAAGUCAGGUCCGCCACGCCGACAAGGCGUUCCCAAGCACAAUUUGGUAUUUUGGUGAGCAGCACAGCCCGGCGUGAGUAUCCCCCCUCCCUAACUCAGCUCCUCCCAGCGCCGUAAGUCGUAGCGGGGGAGGAGAAAGGGCGUGGAGUAGGUUUAACACAGCCGAGACCUGUUUUCACCAAUCACAUAAGCUCCUCUCCUUGCCUUUAAAUCCGCCACAGGCGAGGCGUAUUACAAUUUUCAUGAAGAAGUCAAAGAGAUCAAGAGAUGUCUGAAGACAGUAAUGCCACAAGAUGGCGACAGAGGGCAGCUCCUCAACAAGUGUCACUGCAAGCGCUGCAUUGGACGUCCUCCACACUCUCUCAUAUGAGCGCAGAUGGAUUUGGUGUGUGUAAUGUUGGACCCACUGGUAAGACAAACACCCUUUUCCACAAAUAAAGACACUCACAUAAAGUUACAUAUAUUCAAACCUCACGUGACAAAGGUGGGUUGAGCGCACAGAUCACAACAUAAACUCCAAAAAUGGCAUUAAAAUUGGAACCAUCUGUGCGUAAAUGACGCAUCGCGCUCCGUAGCCUGGCUCUUUCUUUCAUAGAUGUUGGCAUAUAAAAUAAAUUUGGCCCACAAAACUGAGUAUUAUAAUAUCCGUAUGUCGGCUUAAAGUAGAUAACUCAUCUGAGCACUGAAACAAAUCAUCUGUUCAGCCGCAGCAGCAGCAAGACGGAGAGAGGACACAGAGACAUGUCCAGGUCGAGCUGCACGUGAAAUAAGAAGAAGAGGAAGAAAGAAAAGGAGGGAGACGAAUUACAUGUCUUGUUAACUUCAUCAUGUGUGUUUAUUUACUAGAUAUUUAAUUUAAUUUGAUGCGGUUUCAGCUGUGUUGAUUAGGUCAGGUUGUGUGUCCAAACGCGUGCCAAACGCGCUCAUCAGAUCAGAUACAGAUCAGAAUAUAUCUAUAUAGAUCUAAAUGUAUGUGCUGACUAUGAUUAUUAGUUGUUGAUGAUUAUUUAUUGCACUGAAAUGUGCCUGACACUGUGGAAACCUGCCGGUGAGGCAUCAGUGACGUAUGCCGAUACGCCGCCGGUCUACCAAAAUACUACUAGACCAGCUGCGUUCCGUCUGCGCUGAAAGCUGACCAGGUUUGAAUCGACGAGCUUUCAGCGCACUUUACACGCCACUGGCGAGCACGAAAAUGUCACUGCGCCCGCUGAUUCUGUCGACACCUCUCCCUGCCACGCCACCACGCCCAGCUUGGCGGAUCUCAGUUCGCCUCCGAGCGCCUCAGUCCACGAAAAAUACCAAACUGGCUUUACACCGGGCUCCUCCAGACGAAAAUACAACUGCGCGGGCUCCGCCACCCUCCGUCGCCUCACCGGCGUGCAUGAAAAUAGAGCCCAAGGACUUAGCCAAACAAACAACAGUAACACAUCACAAAACACAAGGUACAAAUAAGGGUCAUUGCAUAACAGACCUGAUAUACAGAAUACUGAUGCCUUAUUGAAAACAUGAGCAAGAAGUCCCAAAAUAAGACGAUAGAGCAGUUUUGAACAGUUUAAAAGAGGAGAUAGACCGAAUAUGUAUCGGUAGGUUAUUCCAAUCAGAAGGAGCUUUGAACCUGAAGGAUUUUUUAGAGACUGAUUUGAAAACAGUAGGAGUGACAAAGAAGACUUGUGAGCAAUGUCUAAAAUCCUUUAUUUUAUCAAGUAACAGAUCCAGGACUUAUUUCUGCUCUGCUGUUGGUUCAGCUUAACUCUGAUAGUUGAAAGUGUAGAAAGGUUUUUAGGUGUGUUCAUGUAAUGAGGUUUUAUCGACUUUGACGGCCUUGGUACAGUGGACUCGCUCAGAGGAGCCAAAUCUCACCUCCUCUUCUGUUCGCGCCCUUACAGAAGUGUUUUUCCAUUCCUAUCAGCAUAUUUACUGCAAACAAAAGUCCCUAAUUACUUUGAUGUUCUCACUCUUCUGUUCAUGGACACAAAGUGAGAAUUCAUAACUUUUCCAAAUCAGGAGGAGGCGACAGAGCAGCCAGACCUCUGUGAGAGGUCAACCUAAGCUUCGCUUUCGGUUUGAACACUCAAUGUGUAUUUGCUGGUUUCCCCUGAUGUGAGCUGCUGAAGGGCUUAGGUCUGAGAGGGUCACAAGUCCUCUGCUGACCCUGUUUUCACCUGGGACUCAUGACAUAAGAACCACCGCACUGCUGCUGCAUGUAUGUGUGUGUGUGUGUGUGUGUGUGUGUGUGUGUGUGUGUGUGUGUGUGUGUGUGUGUGUGUGUGUGUGUGUGUGUGUGUGUGUGUGUGUAUUGAGUGAAAAAGGCUGACUCAGCAGACUUGGGGCACACCAAACACAUCAAUAUUAUUUACUCACUUAUUUUAAACAAAUUACUCCCUCUAACCAACAAACGAUGUAAUGUGGGAGAGGCGGGAAUUCCUUCACUUCACACAGUUGGAGUAUGAUUCCAUCAAAAGUGGUUGACGUGGACUUGACUGUGAGGAUCAGUUAGCAAAUAAUCUGAGCUCCUCACUCAUGUUCCUCUCUCUGGGUAGCAGCAUCAGUUUUUUCUCCAUUUAUAGAUAGAUGAACCUCCAUGGUCUGUUAGUGUUAUACAUCACCAGGGAAUCUCUAAGCUGAUUGGCUCUUGCUGCAUGAAUGAUUUGUUUGAGUUCAGAUCUUUUACUUGCAAAUGAAGCAUGAUGAUGGUGUUCGAAUUGCACCACCUGCAGGUAUAGUUUGCUUAAUUUGUGCCGCAUUAUUGACAUCUCCCAACAAGUAAAUGUCUGAUUGUGCCCUAAACUUUACUUGUACUUUACUUGUGUAAAUGUGGUGUGACCACAGCAUCAAGCCUCUUAUGUCACGGUCAGACCAGAUGCAAAUAAAUGGAGCGAAUCUUUUCUGUGAGUAAAUUAUAUCCAAAGUCAAUGUAAAGAUGUGAUCAGAUGUAAGUUCUUGUAGGGUGAUGUGAAUGAUGCUAAUGAGCUGUGUGCAUCAGUAAAAACAAAACAGUAAUUCACUUUAUUGGAUAAAUUCUUGAGAAUUGAAAAAACUCUGAGCCCCAGAAAUGUUAUGACAGUCAUUCAACAGGGAGAUGGUGAUGUUUGUCAAGAAUAGCAGUUCCCCCAUCUGAAAAAUGGAGAAUAAAACGAUGGUGAUGGUGAGCAGCCCCAUUGAGCUCUUGGAUACGACUUGUUUCUAUUAAAACAGGAGAGGAGGAAAGUCAGUGAGGAGGUCAGAUUAUCUGGUUAGUCAUGAAAACACAGCAGAUCCAUAACAGGACUGAGUAUUUGUACUAACAUAACAGCGUAAUAACGGUGUCCCAGUGUGCCAUUACACAUCACAAUACCUCACAGCAGGAUGGACACUCUGCAGGUGUAACAGGACGUAAAUAUCCAGCUCUGUGUUUGUCUUUGCACACGACACCUGCUCUCUGUCAGCACCGUCAAACAUUCAAAAACAAGAAAUAUAAAGAAAGCAUGUUUUUGCAAGUUAUGAAUAUUAGUUUCUUCACAGCCAGCGAAAACUCCUGACUGGAGCUUUCAAAAGGGGAAUUAUCAAUGCUUUGACAUAGGCCUGAACGAUAUAUCGUUUGACUAUCGUCAUCGCGAUGUAAUAAUAAUAAUAAUAAUAAUACAUUUUAUUUAAAAGCGCCUUUCUGAGCACCCAAGGACACUUUACAGGGCAUAAAAACACAGCUAGAAACAUAAUUAAAAUAAAUAAGAACAACAUACAAGUGUGAAAGAAGACAGUUAAAGUGAGUAUGCGAUUCGGAAUAGGUGUGUUUUGAGAUUGGAUUUAAAGUGGGGUAAUGAGUCCAUGUUCCUGAGGUCCGGGGGGAGAGAGUUCCAGAGUUUGGGAGCAGAGCGACUGAAAGCCCUGCUCCCCAUGGUGCUGAGCCGGGCAGAGGGGACAGAGAGGUGGAGGGAGGAGGAGGAUCUGAGGGAGCGUGAGGGGGUGGAUAUGUGGAGGAGAUGGGAGAGGUAGGGGGGGGCAAGGUUAUGGAUGGCCUUGAAAGUGUACAGGAGGAUUUUGUAGUUGAUUCUGAACUUGAUGGGGAGCCAGUGAAGCUGCUGAAGGACAGGGGUGAUGUGGUGAAAAGAGGGGGUUCUGGUGAUAAUGCGGGCUGCAGAGUUUUGGACAAGUUGAAGUUUAUGGAGGGAUUUGUGAGGGGCACCGAAGAGGAGUGAGUGCGAUAGUCACAUCGCAGAGCCUGCGAUAUUGGAGGUGAAUGAACUCAUUUAAUUUAAAGGGUAACCGACUGAGAUACACUCCAUGUGACUCUGCAUGUGCUGUGCAGCGAUCCACCAAUCGCCUUCGUCCUUAACUCAGUUGCCAAUCAGACUCACUUCUCAGUUGCCAAUCAGACUACCCUGCCAGCUGUCAAUCAAAAUCAGGGAGGAGAAAACCCACCCCUGCACAUGUUCUGCACAUGGAGGGAGACGUGUGUCCACUGAGAAUUACUUUCGGAACUUUACUCAUGACUGUUAAGCUCAACAAAUAAGAACUGUAUGGGUUUUAAAUUGUACAUUUCCGUGGACCACUCUACUAUAAGCAGUGCGCGUUUUGCGAGGUGCAUGCAAUUCUCGGAGGACAUGCGUUUCUCGGCACAACACCGCUAACAACAACAACAACGAUCGCAAAAUGAACAACGAACAAGCGAAAACCACCGAAAAUGAAGAUUUGUUGCCAAAAAGAAAAAGGAAAGUCAGUUAUCUGGAAUUAUUUCGGUUAAAAGAAGGAUGAUGUCGACCAAAACACGUCUUCUGUGUUCACCUGUUGCCACAAUAACGUCCCAGCACAAUAAAAGCUAAAAAUAUCUCUGAGACAGACAGAAGCCGUUCUACUAACAUUCACAAAAAGAGGUAAGAUCAGAGCAGAUUAACUGUCCUCAAGAUUUCAGCAGUGCAGCAUAACAUUAAGUGCUAUUCAGGUCAUCUGGUGAAAGUACUGUAUUUUUAAUAUCGCAAUAUAUAUCGCAGGGUUGAAAAAAUCGCAAUAUUAUUUUUUUCCAAUAUCGCGCAGCCUUACUUUGACAUAGUUAGAGGGAUCUGUGAGCCUCAGACCAAGAGAAGGAGUUCAGGCUGAUAAUGAAACAGAAUUUAUAUAUUAAGAAAGAAAAUGACAAAAAUGACCAUCUGUAGCUGAAGUUUAAAAAAAAAAGGGUGGAUCAAAUAUUUUCAGUGGCUCAGAUAAACCAGUUACUGAUAAAUCAAAAUUAUAACACAUUUGCAUAAACACAUUUGUCUCCUCUCAUAAUCAUUACAGUUUUUAAAAUGUGCUGAAUAUACAUCAGUUAUGCCUUUAGCAGGGUUUAAAUAUGUGGAAGUAAUCUGUGAGUUAACAUUGUACAAUCAUCCGAUUGCUUUAGAUGAUCAUUUAACAGUCAAAUAUUGAUUAUGUUUUUAUUCUUGUUAUUAGGAUUAAGGUUUAGCCUUGAGAUGAAACACCUAAUUUUAAAGGGAGUCCAAACAAAAUCACAAACACAGCAAAGAAGAAAAUCAGAUGGAUAAAUAUAUAUGUAUAAUAAUAUACACAUAUAUGUAUGUAUGUGUGUAUAUAUGUAUAUCUCUGGGCCCUGCUUUCACAUUAAACAUCAGUAAAAAAUCUGUUAAUGAAAUAUAUAUAUAUAGUAAAUGAAUUCUGUGGGAUCUGCUGGACCUGUUUGGUCUUAGGGUGCUUUGGUUGUUUUUUUUAAUUGAUUAAUGGUCUUUACAGUCAGACUGAAGAGUCUGACUCUUCAGGAUCACUAUAGACUGCUCUCGCCUCUCUGGAUCAGUUCAAUCCUGAUCCGCACUUUCCCUGCAGUUUGAGAGGCCGAGCUCACAUUCCAGCCGCGUGGAAACGUCUCGGUUCAGUUUCACACAUGCUCUGAGAAUGACUCUUUGUUUCCUCCCUUUUCCACAGCCGACACUUAAAGCCGAGCAGAAUAAAUAAGCUGGCAGCUUGAGGAAACACCAGAGAGCCGGAGUGUGUUUUCUGGAGCCGAGCCACCACUCGCUUGUCAAAGUGAAUGUAAGUAGGCCACAAGUGUGAGCAAUCACUGGAAAUUAUACGCUUUUAGAGGGAUUUCAUAUAAAGGUAUUAAGCCGGUCUGAGAUGUUUGGCAGCACAAAUGAUGGGAAUUAUAUUCAUGGACAUGAUGUGCGCCACAACUGUGGCUUCUUGUUGGUUCCAUCUAUUGCAUAUUUUCCUAAACUCUGCCAGCGUGUGAAGUGGAUCCCGGCAGAUUGAUGUAAUAGGAUAAAUGCGGCUCCGUGAGAGGGUUCGAGUGGGCCGGUGAGGGCACCACAUGGUAGGUGGGAUGGAAACUCUACUCUGUGGCCCGGAUCCUUUUCCCAGAGCCUCAGCUAGCCGAGGAGCGUCUCUGGAAACUUCAGAAAGCCUCUAACAGGCUGCUGACAGGAGGACGAGCCAGACCCCAGACCAUUUGGACCUUUUAAUCCAGUUUUCACCAACCGGUUUUAGACUUCAGUGUGAGCGGAGAUGAAUAACGAGGAAGAUAUGAUAUCCUCUGCAUUUAGUCUACCAUCAACUCUUAGAGAGGCCGAUUGCAGCCGGCACGCAGCCAGACAAUCAGGACCAAAUUUCAGGCUCGGUUUAACCCAGGGUUUGAUUUUCCUGGGUGUUACAGCGGGGCUCUGCUGCUUAUUAGCCUGUACACAAAGCUCUCUAAGCAUUUAUAUCAUAAAACACUGAGCAUCUGUCCAGGGCACUGAAAGCCCAGGGGUCAGAGUAGGCCGGUUCAGACCUGUGCCCCACUAUAAGAUUCAGUGGCAUUAUGCAGGUCUGCAGAGAGAGGGGAGCUGCUGUCUGCCAAAACCCACAUUCAGAUACACUCACAGUUGCAAUUUCAGCAAGAAAACAUCUGCUGUUAUGUCUUCUCAAACAACUCUGUCCACUUAUAAAUGGCUGAUAGUCCAUCCUGAUUAGUGUUUGGAUCCAGCUGUCUUUGUGAGAGCUUAGAGUUAACCUGAGCUCCCACCCACACACUGCAGCUGACUGAGAUCCAUGCUGUGGAGUCUUGAUAAGCAGACGUUUGAGUUUAAAUGUGCAGCAGUGUGAGGUGACGGUCAAGAAUCCCUCUGGAGGCUAAUAAAGCUAAUGAUCUGCAACAACCAGCUCAGUCUUCAUCAGGAGAGACCUGCUGCUGCUGCUCCAGAGACAACACAGAGUCACUCACACAUGCUGCAGUAAAUCUGCACUAUAGAUAAACCAUUAUGUUUGAUCUGUAAACCUGCUGCAAAUGCACAACACACAAAUAACACACAAAGCAAAAGAAACGCUCAAAACAAAAGCUGCAGAUUCUUUCAAUCAAAAGCUUUGAUUGUGUUUCUGCACCAUUCAUUGGGUAUGCAGUCAUUUUUCAGCAUGUUUUUGGAUGCAGUCUUUCACUUGUUUUGGAUGUGUGUGUGUUUUAUUUUUAUAAAGUUGUGUCAUUUUUGCACUUGCAGUCCAUUUCUCCUGAUGAAGAUCACGUGCUCUUGUUGGACCACGAUAGAUGUCGCUCUGUCACUCAUUUUAAGAGUCCACCGCUGAGCAUGCAUGUGUAUUUGUGCUUAUUAAACUUCUGGGAUGUUUAAAAAGUACUGACAUGUUUAUUUUUGAACCCCCUUGAAACUGUGAAGGUUGAGGUCUUAUGUAAAUAAGAAUUUAAUAUUACUUAUUAUCCCUUCAUAAAAAUUGCACAUCAACAAACAGACAAAAUGAAGAAAGCCUGUCAGCUCAGCUCACCUGAAACCUGCUGCAGAUGUGUGUUUGAAAAUGUUAAAUAUGGUCACGUUUUAGGACUUAUUUCUCCUUCUGUGAUCUCUCUGUUUACAGUGUCUAUGUCUGCUAAACCACCUGAAUUUAAAUCCUGACAGUUUGUAACAGCUAAUAUUUGACAGAAAUAUGAUGAUCUACUCAAAUAAAAGCAGUCUGGCAGAGAUAUCAUCCAGUGAGAUCCCUCCGCUCUCACUGUCAGUAGCUGUGUUUACAUGGGCGCAAAUAAUCAGAAUAGAGGCCCAAUCAGAAUAAAAAUGUGUCAUGUAAACAUGUCGAUCGGAAGAUUCUGAUCCAAUUUGGCUCAAUUGGAAAGAAUUUGUAUUCCGAUCGAGAGUGGUGGUUUAUGCUGAUCGUUAUUCCGAAAUGCGUGCAUGUAAACACUUAUUCUGAUCGUGACUCUCUAACCUGACUCUAUCUUCACCCUUUAGCCUUUGACUCAUUUACUGAGGCCAGUUCAGGAGGUUUCAUUAUUAACACUCUGAUAUAAAACACAACCACAGGUGCUGUGUCUGCUCCUCCGGUAACAUAACAAGGCGUACAUACAGCGUAAUGAUGAUGAUCUACACGCACAGUGCAACCUUUGACAGAACAGCAAAAUAAGUACACAAGGGCGCCAUCUAGUGACAACAUUUAAACAGGGGGGAAAAAUCCUGAAUUGGAUGAAGUGAGCCACAACCGCGUUUGUUGGUUUGUUGACAGCGCAGGCAUAAAUACAACUCUUCUUCUACGGUUGUUCCUACGGUCAGAUAACUCUGCGCAUUUCCAAAUGCUUAUAAUCUGAAUAAAAUCUGGUGCAUGUAUGCACACGUCAUGAUCGGAUUAUUUGAUUUUGCACCCAUGUAAACAGUGGAUUCAGAUGAUCAGAUCCCUCAAAUUUUUAAUCGGUGUAAGAAAUUUUGCACAAUCUAAACAUGGCUACUGUGGCUCAGGGUCAGAUCAGUUAUUUGGUUGCUUAUUUGGGGAUUUUUCUAGCUUUUAACCAUAAAAAGCAAAUAGAUGCACACCACAUCAUGUACUGAAGCAGUCUCUGAGUGCAGGGAAACCCAGACUGAUGCUUUUAUGGAGUGUUUUGGGUUCAAAUAAAGGCCUCAUUUCUCCAGGCCCAUGCAUCUCUGUGCCUUAACCUAUUUGAUCCCUAGUUAUGAUCGCUCACAGAAAAAACACCUUAUAAAAAUGGAUCCAGGAGGACUCGACAGUAGAGCAUUUAAAACAUCAAAAUCAGCCUGACACCUCCUGAAAAAAGGUUGAAUAUUAAUUUCAGGGAUGGAUCCUGCAUGAGAGAAAAGUUUAUUUCUUUGCAUAUGAAUAUGGUUUGAUAGAAACACAGCUAUCAUCUGUCUUCACUUUAUCUUUCUGCGAGUCUCUGCCUCUGUGCUUUAUACGAUGAUAAUCAAGCAGUGAAUAUCUGCGACUACCAGGAUCACAUUUCCUCUUUAGUAAACAUUUCAUAUGACUCAAUAAAAGCAGCCGCUGGGAAAAAUAACAGUAUAUCCCGUAACUCAGACCACAUGUAAUGAAUAUGAAAUAAAUGAAGCAUUAUGGCAGGAGGUAGACCACGUUAAUUCUCCAAUACAUCUCCUCUAUCAGUACAAUCUAAUCUAGCCAAGGCCGGGAGCAAUACUCUGAGUGCAGAGCUGCAUGUGUGUGCUGAUGGUUUACUCAUACCAGAGGACAAAUGAAAUGAUGUUUUUAUUCAUCUUUGACAUGCUGUUACCAGGUUCUGAUGUUUGUGACGUGGAGUCGCCUGAAGCCAAGGCUCGGAUGCAUUUGUGGAAUUACAGCGAGCGGAUCGAGCCAUUACUCCCCGACAGACACUCUGUCCUCCAACUUUCAAUUCUCACUCUGAGAUUUCCCAAGUCUCACGCUGGAUAAGAAACUUUUAGAUUGCCUGCUCUGACAGAUGAGUGUGUUCAAAUUGCUGUGAGAGGUUUUGUAGCUGGAAAAUGUAUUUACUGUUGAGGAUGCAGUGCGACGUUUCAUCUUAGGGGCGUCAUGGAAAAGCAGAGAGGAAGUAUUCAAGGUACUUUUACCUUCAAAAUGUUCAUCUAGAGCGAGUGGGUGAGACUGUCUGGGAGAAACUUUUUAAUGGGCCCAAUGCUGCAUAUUUAACAACACCAAUUUAAUAAGAAAUGGACACUGUGUAAAUUGCUGAUCAAAAAAACAACACAAUUUAAGUCUAUAUUUCUAUAUUUAAUAACCAAGUGAAAAAUGCUAUUGUUUCAUGAUAGAUAUAUGCUCAUUCGUUUUUAACAAGCUCUUGUUAAAAAAAAAUAAAUAAAUUUUUGGAGCUACAGUUUACUUCAGAUUGUCGUCUGAAAGCUUCAAAUAUCUUCAUAUUACAGAGAUAUUCAGAGGUCUGACUGUUGGAACAGGACACACCUGUCAUUAUCAGUGAAAAACUCUGAGAAGAUCAUAAGAUUCUGGUCUCUCUGCUCUGAAUGAACGGACUUUGAUUAAAACAAGGUAUUAUUUGCUGUCAUGUACCUCACUAAAUCCGAGCUCAGGCAGAGUCACUGAGGAAACCUGAGUGAAGUAAAGGAACUGACAGAAAUCUCAUUGGUGCAUUUAUUAUCAUUAUGAAAUGAAGCUGUAAAAACAAUGGGACUUGUCUGUGGAAAUGAACCCACAGACUGCAGCAGCAGCAGCUUGGGUCUCUGAAUGGAAAUGCUUUUAUUGAUUAUGUAUUAGCUGUGGUCAGCCGCUCUCUCUUCAUCGUCUCACACUGUAAUUAUUUUCAUCUGGAUGCUGGUUGCCGUGGAGCAGCAGGUCUCAACGCUGCUACUCUCAUCAGUCACCUGAAGCGUGGGGGUGUUCACAUGCAGGACUACACUGAGCCCAUUAACUACAGCGGCCAGGCUCAGGCACAGUAGAGCUGGUUUCCUGCACCACCCCAUCACACUCACCUCUCUGAUUUUUACCCUGUAACAGAGGCACCAGCUGCUGGAGCCAGUGUCAGGACCGCUCAAUCCUGCUGCAGCCCAGGAAUUAUGAAUUUAAUACAACACUCAAAGUUACAGCUGGUUUAAGUAGACGUUUUGCAGAACACAAUGACACACCAGGUGUUUUUAUUUAGAUGGAAGUCAUUCUGAAUGUCUCUGACACUUUGCACUAUUGAGAUCUGACCUUAAAAAUACAUGCUACAUGUAGAUUCUGACAUAUAACCCCAGGAUGAUUGAUGAGAGGACAGAUGGAUACAGAGAGGUUUUGAGUGCACGCACAUGCCAGCUCAGACAGAAACACGGAUAAGUGAUGGAGCGAGUUUCAAGUUUCAGUCCAGAGCAGAGGCUCAGACAGUUUUAGAGGAAGGUGAUAAAAACGUUACUCCAUUAAAGCCGCUCUGAGACUCUGUAGGCUUCAAUCCUGCAUUCAAAACUCAGAUGAUACGUUAAAGCCCCUGUGAGGAAGUUUGGCUUUGUGUCAGUUUUAGUGCCUCCUGUAGACACAGCAGUCCUGUCUUCAUCAAAAGCAGUGACUGUACACAACUGACUUUUAACAGUUAAACACUGCAGAAACUGUCUCUGCAGCUAACACCAAACACAAAAUCAUCCAGACAUGAAACAGCCUGUAAUCAGGUGUGUGGUCCUUUACCAACACUGCAAAGAUGACCAUAAGCUGGACUGUAUGGGCUGUAACAUGUAUCUAUGCUGAGGUGAGAAGGAUGUGUCAAUCCUGACAAUUACUAUUAUUAUUAUCAUUAUUGUUGUUGUUUUUGUUAUUUCAAUUUUCCUUUUUCCAAAUGUGCUACAUAAGCAUACAACACUGCAAAAUACAAACAUCUGAAUUUAGCUUCUCCCUUCACCCAAAUAAUGAGGGUGGAAGGAAGUAUUUUAAGCCUUAGGCCACUUUUAGAUGGAAACGGUCUCCAUAGAAAACGGGAAAAUUUAGUAUCGUUUAGGGGGGUCUGUUUAGAUGGCAACUGCCUUUUCAGGAGAUGAAAACGUAACAAAGUGAAAACCCCCUCCAGAGUGGAAAUGUUGUAAACGCUCUGCUAGUUUCGUCUAAAGUACAAAAACGCUGAAAACACUCAAACCCAUGACAUCCUGGCUCACGUCGGCUCACGUUUCUGACAUCAUAGCCAUGCGCAGCUUCCUUGAAAAUAACAACAACAACCAUGCAAGACGUUCGAGUUGCGCUGUCGUUAUUAUUGAACGAGCAGGAGCUCAAUUUCAACCUGUACAGAAUCCUCACAGAUCAUACUGCGCAGCAGAGGAGGCAUCUCAAUUAUUUGCAUCAAAUAAUUAAAGUGCCAAAUGGUCGGCUGAGGGGAAAAAGGGCGACCAGGGGUCCGUUUCACGUAGCAGGUUUAGUGGAAACUCCGAGUUUGUUAACCCUGAAAUCGGGGAAACUCUGAGUUUUCCGUUUCACAAAGGAGGGUUAGUUAAACCAGGGAGAGAGGGGUAACUCUAACCUGUUUCACAAAGAGAGGUAACUCAACCUCGCGGUCAGUUACCACAGUAACAGACUCCGUGAACCUAACCUGCUCGGGAGCAGGUUUAACUCAGUAAACCCAGAGUUUCAGGUGAGACAUCGGCAUUUUCUCAUUUUGAUCAUGUUUUACAUUGUCAAGUAAGUAUUAAGUGGCAGUUUGAUCUCUUAAAAAAUGCUCUUUUCACACUCAAAACUGAAUUUUACUCUCUUAUUAUGUUCCGUUAAAUGAUUAAGAAUAUUAAACUAACACAAAAACGGGUGGUGGUCCAGCAGCCCCACCUUUAACGGAGGCAGAGGCGCACACACACACACACACACGCACACCAGUCCGACGAUCGCUGCUACGGGGUGGGGGUUUCGAUCGUCGGGGGGGGGGGCAGCUCCUCUGCCUCCGUUAAAGGUGGGGCUGCUGGGCCACCACCCGUUUUUCUGGCAUCUGCCCUCUUUCUGUUUGCUGAGUGAAAGUCUAAUAUUGAGUGUAGUGUGUGUUAGUUUAAUAUAUGUACAUAUACAUACUGAGAGUUAGUUUAAUAUUCCUAAUCAUUUAACGGAACAUCAUAAGAGAGUAAAAUUCAUUUUUGAGUGUGAAAAGAGAAUUUUCUAAGGGAUCAAACUGCCACUUAAUACUUACUUGACAAUGUAAAACAUGAUCAAAAUGAUUCAAGCAGUUUCCCUGCAACAGUCUGUCAUUGUGAUUGCACGAGACUAGAUUUAAAGUUACGCAUUGACGCGAGCAGCGAUUUCCUCCCAAGCCCUCUCCCUCUCCUUUGCAGCUGCUGCUGUAUUGCACUUUCUUUUACAAACGUGCUGUAAUUCGCUGUUGGCUUGCUGCUGCCCCCUCCUUCUCCCUGUUUCCAUUGGUUGAUCAUUGAAUCUGCGCUCCACAGAUGCUGGCUGUUUAUGUCUGGCGUGCACGUGCUUAACUCCAGGUCAAACUACUCGGAGUUGUUAAAACCGUCUCAAAUCAGGUAUUGUGAAACCGGAAACUCAGAGUUUCCUAACUCAGAGUAGAUCAACUCAGAGUUAAGGAUUUAACUCAGAGUUUGUUGAACCACCUACGUGAAACGGACCCCAGGAAUGCACAUUA
rnacentral:lncRNA from 1 species